CACUAGGCGAUUCCCUCUUGGGUCUGGAAUGUGGCCAUGAAAGAUCCCCGAAGGGAGACCCUCACUCAAGUCUCCGGAAGUCGCGGACCCCAGACACACGAGAGACC
rnacentral:pre_miRNA from 14 species